GAUGAACGCUGGCGGCGUGCCUAAUACAUGCAAGUCGAGCGAACGGACGAGAAGCUUGCUUCUCUGAUGUUAGCGGCGGACGGGUGAGUAACACGUGGAUAACCUACCUAUAAGACUGGGAUAACUUCGGGAAACCGGAGCUAAUACCGGAUAAUAUUUUGAACCGCAUGGUUCAAAAGUGAAAGACGGUCUUGCUGUCACUUAUAGAUGGAUCCGCGCUGCAUUAGCUAGUUGGUAAGGUAACGGCUUACCAAGGCAACGAUGCAUAGCCGACCUGAGAGGGUGAUAGGCCACCCUGGAACUGAGACACGGUCCAGACUCCUACGGGAGGCAGCAGUAGGGAAUCUGCCGCAAUGGGCGAAAGCCUGACGGAGCAACGCCGCGUGAGUGAUGAAGGUCUUCGGAUCGUAAAACUCUGUUAUUAGGGAAGAACAUAUGUGUAAGUAACUGUGCACAUCUUGACGGUACCUAAUCAGAAAGCCACGGCUAACUACGUG
rnacentral:rRNA from 1 species